rnacentral:tRNA from 1 species
UAGAUGAGUCCAUGGUUUGGGAAAGAGGUUUCGGCCCUCUUUUUAGGAGUAGUAUUUCCUCUUAUCUGU